CACUAAGUGUUGGGACGAACCAUAAAAUGGCGUUUCUCGUUGAGCAAGAACUGAUUUCUGCGCGAUAUUAAAAUUAUAUAGUUAUCAACAAUUAAAGCGUGGACCGUGCACCUUAAUUCUCGCCAAAUAAUGUAGUUUUAGUAACGAAUUACAAAAAAAAAAUUGCAAAAUCCAACGGUGCAUGCAGCUAAAGUGCUUCAUCCGCAUUCAGUCGUCGUUGUUCAUAUAUCAUUUGCUCUCUCGCCGUCUCUCUGGCGUUUACAAUAUUGCAAAUUCUGUGGCAGACACACACAGAUGCUAGCAAAAUAGUAUGCACCCAUACAAACGCAGGAAAAAAAAUUAAAGUUAAUUAAGCGACUGUUGAAAUAUAUACAUAUGCAUAUUGUAUAUAUAUAGCAACAUUCGUAGUACGUGCAUUAUUUAAUACAAUUUAUGAAAUAAUAAAACCCAGUUCUCUUAAAUUGUCUGCACGCUGCCUGCAACGACUGUGCACCGUGUCUGUGUGUGUGUGUGUGUCAGUGUGUUUGUGUGUAACAUGUGCGUGUGAAAUGGUUUUAAGGCAGCGGAGCAGCAUCAACAAACCAACAACAACAACAACAACAGAGGCAAAACAGUUUAGGUUUGCAUUCGCAGCGCCAACAAACAACAACACAUGAC
rnacentral:sRNA from 1 species